GACGAACGCUGGCGGCGUGCUUAACACAUGCAAGUCGAGCGGUAAGGCCCUUCGGGUACACGAGCGGCGAACGGGUGAGUAACACGUGGGUGACCUGCCCUUAGCUCUGGGAUAAGCCUGGGAAACUGGGUCUAAUACCGGAUAUGACCUCAUGACGCAUGUUGUGGGGUGGAAAGCCUUGUGCGGCUAGGGAUGGGCCCGCGGCCUAUCAGCUUGUUGGUGGGGUNAUGGCCACCAAGGCGACGACGGGUAGCCGGCCUGAGAGGGCGACCGGCCGACACUGGGACUGAGACACGGCCCAGACUCCUACGGGAGGCAGCAGUGGGGAAUCUUGCGCAAUGGGCGAAAGCCUAACGCAGCGACGCCGCGUGAGGGAUGACGCC
rnacentral:rRNA from 1 species